GACUAUGACUGUCAUUACUGUCAUCAACAACAUUGAGAACUAGCCACCACGAAAAAGGAGUUUUUUUACAAUGACAGAGGCUGGGACAUCGGAGAAGUCGUAAAAUCGGAACAGCUUUGAAAUGAAUUGCUGUAAUAGUUUUUGAGAUGUUCCUCAGGGGCCGAAAAAUGCAUGUCAGUGCCCAGCAAAAAGUUGGUUACCCUGUCCUUUUUUUCUUUUAAAUGUUUCAUUACUUCUAACAUGUUCUUUAGAAAUGUAUUCAUAAAAUUGUAGGUGGUAGACCAUGGAAUGCUAACAAGUUAACUACUGUUGAAAAUCUACUUAACAGGGCUUAAACUGGUCAAUAUCCUGAGGUUGAGAAAACAUGAGAAAAACAUUUGCAAAAGAUGAUUCACUAUGUGAAAUCUAAAAUGACAAAAGCUAUUCCAAACAUUAAUUCAACAAAUGGUUCAAAAUAUUUUGGUGGAUUGAUAGGAGUGCCACUAGCCCAAUAUUGCCUCAAACUUUUAAAAGAUAUAAUCCAUGUCUGUCAGGAUAUGUUGCACAAUUGCACGGCCUACAAUUGCUACAUGUGCAGUUUUUUGACGUCGUGGUAUCAGCUGGCUCAAGAGCUGAUUGCUUUCUUUUUGCUGUUGCACUCAGCUGUCAUUAAAGAGUGUUUUUAAGAUUGCGUUGAAAUGACUGCAGCCCAGUCCUGUUGAAAAGGUGGCCAACAAACAUGAAGAUGCUGUGCCAACUGUUAAUCACCCAGAGCAACAACAACAAACCAAACAACUGGGUGAUGUCAAAACAGCCAAAAUGGAGACGGUCUCCGAACUGGAUCUUGCACCGAUCCUUCCUUCAGAUAGAGUCCUCAGAACUGUGGCGAAUGCAGUGACUUGUACUGAAAAUGAAUUGGCCAAUUGAAAAAUUCUAGUCUCUCAUCCGAGCAUGUUGAGUGGCGAUGAUCCAUCCAGCCACCAUCAGGAUCAUUAACAACCGAAUCAGCAAUAUUGGGUGACGACGGCUGGUAAAUUCCGGUUCUCGCUGGAAGAAUUACCCAAUGAGCUUCAGUUUAUCUACGGAUUCCUGAAAGAGCUCUAUCAUUAAUCAGGUCCGACACCCAACGACAUCUAUUGCGAUCUGUCGAAAUCCUUUGCCCUCAUUGUGAAGUCCUUAGCAAAUUUUUCUGCAACGUUUUGAAGCAAAUAUGUUCCCCUUCAAAAAACCGAUUUACCAAAAUGGUGAUUGGUGAACCUACAGUUUUGAGUGAACUUUUGCAGCUUUGUAUUUACAUGAAGAUCACAUCUUGACUUAUGAUAUACUUGCACGCCUCCAUUACGAUCUUAAUAAAUGGCGAUCAAGCGGUGUCAAAA